CCUCAGUGUGAGAAGCUGGGGUUAGACCAAAGGCUCUCAACAAGUGGGUUGUGACCCCUUCAGGGUCAUCUAUCAGAUAUCCCGCAUGUCAGAUGUUUACAUUAUGAUUCAUAACAGUAGCAAAAUUACAUUUGUGAAGUAACAACAACGUAAUUGUAUGGGUGGGGGUCACCACAGCAUGAGGAGCUGUGUUAAAGAGGGACAGCAUUAGGAAGGCUGAGAAGUGCUGGGUUGGAGUCUGCAGUCUACUCAGGGAGCAGAAACCUUGAUUUGGCCUUUGGAGAGUGUCCUGGCCUUUGAAUGAAUAUCCAUCAUUCCUGCCUCCACGUUCCUGCCUCUUCUCAAUUGUCGGGAGGCUUUUAAAACCGCUGCUGAAGGAUUGCAUUCUUGGGACACUGGAAAAGCAUGCGCCACCAUCGGAAAGCCUCUUAUGUCUUACAUAGGCUGGUUUACACUGUCCUUCCACUGAUGCAACCAGGGCUCUGCUGAUAGGAACACAAAGCUACAAAAGCCUGUAUUUAAGCAUCUUCUGCUCCUUAACAUUGCUCUUCAUGAAAGAGCCCAAUCUUUAGGCACCUCAUGAAAUGCCAUGACUCUGUAAAUACAGAACUUGUUGUACCUGUAUAUCGUUGGGCACUACUUCUUGUCAUAGUAAAUAAAGAACAAGCAAACAAACAAAUUCCCGAAGCCAUCAUUAACGGAGCAUGUAGCUCUCAACCCUGAUUUCAAUCUUUGUUAAGGGGAAGUAGUGUUGCUUCUUCAUCUUCGGAAUCUUGAAAGCGACACAGAAAGUGACCAGGAGGGUGGCAAGGAGUACCGUGGCCUUCUGCACACUUGCUUGGUCAGGUUUCCCACGGAUGUCCAUUUUCCUCCCUGACUCCCAUCUGAGCCAGCAACCCUAAUUGGCUAAGACUCCCUGCUCAGCGGCACAAUGCCAGCACCCGACAUUCCUUCCAAUGAGUCACAGUCAAUCAAACUUGUUUCUGAGUAGCCUUCUGACACAAGGCAGGCAGCAUCCAAGGAGAGCCUUACAGUAUCGAAUGGCUUGUGUCAUCAGCCAAGCUCUGAGUGACCCUUCACUUUGGUAUUGAAAGCGAAAUGUGUUUUCACACAGAGAAGGCCCAAACUGUCCCUAGCCCCUGGAUUCCUGUGUUGUCU
rnacentral:lncRNA from 1 species